CAGCAGCCGCGGUAAUACAGAGGGUGCGAGCGUUAAUCGGAUUUACUGGGCGUAAAGCGUGCGUAGGCGGCUUCUUAAGUCGGAUGUGAAAUCCCUGAGCUUAACUUAGGAAUUGCAUUCGAUACUGGGAAGCUAGAGUAUGGGAGAGGAUGGUAGAAUUCCAGGUGUAGCGGUGAAAUGCGUAGAGAUCUGGAGGAAUACCGAUGGCAAAGGCAGCCAUCUGGCCUAAUACUGACGCUGAGGUACGAAAGCAUGGGGAGCAAACAGGAUUAGAUACCCCCGUAGUCCCUGUCUCUUAUAC
rnacentral:rRNA from 1 species